UUUGCAAGUGAUGAUAAAACAGACAGGGACAUCAGAAAUCCUUUUAGGAUAAUAAUAUGUUGACACGUCUUGGGAAUCUCUCUGAUGCAUA